rnacentral:rRNA from 1 species
GACGAACGCUGGCGGCGUGCCUAAUACAUGCAAGUAGAACGCUGAAGAGAGGAGCUUGCUCUUCUUGGAUGAGUUGCGAACGGGUGAGUAACGCGUAGGUAACCUGCCUUGUAGCGGGGGAUAACUAUUGGAAACGAUAGCUAAUACCGCAUAACAAUGGAUGACUCAUGUCAUUUAUUUGAAAGGGGCAAAUGCUCCACUACAAGAUGGACCUGCGUUGUAUUAGCUAGUAGGUGAGGUAACGGCUCACCUAGGCGACGAUACAUAGCCGACCUAAGAGGGUGAUCGGCCACACUGGGACUGAGACACGGCCCAGACUCCUACGGGAGGCAGCAGUAGGGAAUCUUCGGCAAUGGGGGCAACCCUGACCGAGCAACGCCGCGUGAGUGAAGAAGGUUUUCGGAUCGUAAAGCUCUGUUGUAAGUCAAGAACGAGUGUGAGAGUGGAAAGUUCACACUGUGACGGUAGCUUACCAGAAAGGGACGGCUAACUACGUGCCAGCAGCCGCGGUAAUACGUAGGUCCCGAGCGUUGUCCGGAUUUAUUGGGCGUAAAGCGAGCGCAGGCGGUUUGAUAAGUCUGAAGUUAAAGGCUGUGGCUCAACCAUAGUUCGCUUUGGAAACUGUCAAACUUGAGUGCAGAAGGGGAGAGUGGAAUUCCAUGUGUAGCGGUGAAAUGCGUAGAUAUAUGGAGGAACACCGGUGGCGAAAGCGGCUCUCUGGUCUGUAACUGACGCUGAGGCUCGAAAGCGUGGGGAGCGAACAGG